UCCCUAUGGGGUGCAGCAGGCGAGAAAACUUUGCAAUGUGCGAAAGCACGACAAGGUUAAUCCGAGUGGUUUCUGCUAAAGGAACCUUUUGUCGGUCCUAGAAACACCGAUGAAUAAGGGGUGGGCAAGUUCUGGUGUCAGCCGCCGCGGUAAAACCAGCACCUCAAGUGGUCAGGAUGAUUAUUGGGCCUAAAGCAUCCGUAGCCGGCUUUGUUAGUUUUCGGUUAAAUCUGUACACUCAACGUACAGGCUGCCGGGAAUACUGCAGAGCUAGGGAGUGGGAGAGGUAGACGGUACUCGGUAGGAAGGGGUAAAAUCCUUUGAUCUAUUGAUGACCACCUGUGGCGAGGGCGGUCUACCAGAACACGUCCGACGGUGAGGGAUGAAAGCUGGGGGAGCAAACCGGAUUAGAUACCCGGGUAGUCUCAGCUGUAAACUAUGCAAACUCAGUGAUGCAUUGGCUUGUGGCCAAUGCAGUGCUGCAGGGAAGCCGUUAAGUUUGCCGCCUGGGAAGUACGUACGCAAGUAUGAAACUUAAAGGAAUUGGCGGGGGAGCACCACAAGGGGUGAAGCCUGCGGUUCAAUUGGAUUCAACGCCGGAA
rnacentral:rRNA from 1 species